GGUCUCUAAAUCAUAUCCAUUAGGGGUCCACUGUGAGAUUGGAAAAUCAAUGACAAGUGAGAAGCAGAAACAUCGGGAAGUAUGGGUAGUAUGGUAAAUUAAAGAAUGAUUUCUUCAGUCUUCUAAUCUUCUGGGCAGUAGUAUUAAACUCAACCAAUGAGAAAGAAAGAGAGAGAAAAUAGAUAUACACGAUUACGUGUGUUCCAAGCGAAAAGCCGAAGUAGUGAAGCCUACACUUUUGCUCUGCUUAUCCCUUUCACCUUCUCUAUCCCUCUUUCUCUCUCUCAACUAUUUUCUGUUGGGUUUUCUAUUUUCAAGGGUUUUUUUUUUUCUUUGGAGUUUUGUUCUGUUUUUCUAUCUUCUGUUUCCUGGAAAAUUUAUUUUCUUCAGGGGUGGUUGAAUGAGUGGUCGUUUUUGAGAGAGUUAUUUGGUUGGUUGUUUGGUGGAAGUGGAAAAUUGGGGAAAUGAGGAAAUCGUUCAAGGAUUCCCUUAAGGCUCUUGAAGCUGAUAUCCAGUUUGCCAAUACUCUGUAAAUUCCUCUCUUUUUUGCUUUUUCCAAUUUUUGUGUAUCUCUUCUCUUUUGUUGAAUACCUGUUUCUGGUUCUUAAUCAAUUUCAAAUUUUUAGUAAUGAUCUUUAAGAUUUUGAGUCGUAGUUUUGAUCUUAUUGUUUAGGAGAAGGGCCAUCUUUCUCUGUAUUUUAGCUGAUCAAACUUUGCUAAUUCGUCUAACAGAGCUGAAUUGCCAGAAAGAAUUCAUAUAGUCCAACUCAACUAAUUUGGGAGUAAGACUUGUUUGUUGUUUUUUUAACUAAUUCAGGAAUUUUAUAGCUAUAGAGUGGAUUUCCUAUGCCCUUGUUGAUGAGAUACUAAUAAAUAUCUCUAAUGCAAAAAAAAUUAGGUUCAAUAUAGAAUUCACUGAUUUUCUGGGCUGCUAACUGCACACAGUAAAUCAUAUGUAAAUGUAAAAACUUGGCAAUGGGUUUUGAUAUUUUGUAAAUUCAGAUACAACUGGAAGUAUCUGGUGUGCUAGUAAUUCUUAUUUAUUGCAGGGGCAUUUAAUGCUGAUCAUUCCAAAUGUUUGUGGCUCUGAGAUUUUAUUUUAUUGUGAUUUCUGCUUUAUAUAAUUUGUUCCUCAAGACUCAAGAGUCAAAGGAAGGUUUGUGUGCUUGGAUGGAGUUGUGCAUAAUCCUAGGAAAUCUGAUAGUGGCUUCAGUUCAGCUUACUUGGUUCUACUUUUUUUUUCCCCCCGACACAGGGCUUCUGAUUAUCCUAUGGAAUAUGAUGGUGCCUGUCUCCAGAUGAGAUUAUCCUACAGUCCAGCUGCUCAGUUUUUUCUGUUUCUUGUUCAAUGGACUGAUUGCCACCUUGCCGGUGCAUUGGGGCUGCUUAGAAUUCUCAUUUACAAGGCUUAUGAGGAUGGAAAGACGACCAUGUCUAUUCAAGAAAGAAAAGCUAGUAUAAGAGAGUUCUAUGGUGUGAUAUUUCCCUGUCUAUUGCAACUUCAAAGAGGGAUCAACGAUGUAGAAGAGAGGAAACAAAAAGAGAUUUGUGCAAAGUACAAAAGGAAAGAUGAGAUGGAUAGAGGGAAGCUCUCUGAAAUUGAUCUAGAGAGAGAUGAAGAAUGUGGAAUUUGCAUGGAGAUGAACACCAAGGUUGUGUUGCCCAAAUGUGGUCAUUCAAUGUGUAUGAAGUGCUAUCGAAAUU
rnacentral:misc_RNA from 1 species